rnacentral:miRNA from 1 species
CCCUGGGGAACCCAGGGGCACCAGGUUGCCUAAGGAGGGGGGAGCCUGGCACAUGCCAG